GUCCACGCCCUAAACGAUGCGAACUGGACGUUGGGUGCAAUUGAGCAUUCAGUGUCGAAGCUAACGCGUUAAGUUCGCCGCCUGGGGAGUACGGUCGCAAGACUGAAACUCAAAGGAAUUGACGGGGGCCCGCACAAGCGGUGGAGUAUGUGGUUUAAUUCGAUGCAACGCGCAGAACCUUACCUGGUCUUGACAUCCACGGAACCUUGCAGAGAUGCGGGGGUGCCUUCGGGAACCGUGAGACAGGUGCUGCAUGGCUGUCGU
rnacentral:rRNA from 1 species